rnacentral:lncRNA from 1 species
CAUAUUUUGUUAAAAAUGCACCGAUUAAUAUUUUUUAUUUUACAGUGAAGACGGGCAUCGUAAAAUAAUUUUGUCCGAUCUUAUUGCAUAUUUCAUCAAUGCAUAAUUUUUCCUUGAAAUGUCCAAACAAUCAAUCAUCAAUGCAUAAGUGAUACUUCUCAAAUCUUCCUUUGUCUAUCUUGUUGAGUAUGCAAUUAUAUGUAUGUGCCAGUUUAAAAUGUCCCGUUGAUAUUGGUAUCAAAGCAAAUACCAAUUAGAAUCUAAUAAAAAAAGGAUAUAAUCUGAAAAGAAGAAAACAUAAUUAUAUUGGAAUGAAAAACAAACCUUAUUUCUUCUUGUAGUUAAUAUCCUAUGUGCAUGUGUAUUAAUGUUCGAUUGCUCUACAAAAGGGAAUUGAAGGAAAAAUAUAUUAAAACCAAGAAUAAAUUAACAAAUUAUAAGAGAAUGGAAAGGAGGAGAGUUGUUGUUUCUACUAUCGUUU